GUUUUUUUUUUUUCUUUUCUUUUUUCUCUUUCUUUUGUUUUUUUCU
rnacentral:ribozyme from 1 species